rnacentral:misc_RNA from 1 species
CCGAGUUAGGGUCUCUUUAGGCCCGAUCUCCAACCCUUUGUUUAUUAUACCAUGUUGCUUUGGUAGGCCCGCCUUUUUAGGGGGCCACUGGGGAUAUUUUAUACCCCUAGUCAGUGCCUGCCAAUAGCCUUCUUAAAAAUCCUUUUUUAUAACUAUAUUUGUCUGAAUAUAACUAUAAAUCAUUUA